UCUGAUGUAGAUACAAAAAAAGCAGAAAACACUUACGUGGAUUGAAAAUUUGUGAUUUUACUGCUUGAUUGUACAAUUUUGAUGGAUCAGUGGUGAGUGAUGAAUCAGCGAUGCUUGAUGAAUAAGGUUGAAAUUAACAAACAGAUAUGUUUUUAAUGGGUAUUUGGUUUUAAUCAGACUGAGAGGUCCCUCCUGUUCUCUAGGCAAUGUUUAAUGAGAGUGAGUGCAAGAAGGAAACUGGAGUGUGAAACCACCUAGCAGCUUGCACAUGUGCAUAUUUUUCUGAUAACAGAUCUAUAAGGGUUUAUGGCAUAUGGGUGGCACAGUUUUGGCAGUGGGAGGGGAGCAUGCAGCCCACCUGUGGGAGGAGGCUGGGAGGUGCCCUGCAUAGCUGAGCCCUUCAGCCAGGCUGGGGGGACUUUGGGUGACAGACAGCACCGUAUAGAGAGACAGAAAAGAGAAUGAGAAACAGCUGGAAGGAUGCUGAUAGGAGGAGGAGGAGGAGCUCCAUGGCGGUGCAGGUACUCCUGAGGUAACUGCUGCCCAUGGAAGAGCAGGGUAUCCUCCUGGCACUGUGGUGACCAUCUCCUUGGAUAAGGGACAUCUUCUGCCAUACAGCUCUUUCCCAGGGAUCUAAGUGAGAGAUGCUGAUUGUGCCAGAGCCAACAGAAGGAUGAGUGGAGCUCCAUUUUGGUUUGUUGCAGGGAGGGCAGUGAGUUGGGGCAGCCAUGCCCAGUCUAGGAGUGGAAUUCCUUCUCCUUGAUCAGUGGCCUGGUCUGAGAAGUUUGGUGAUGGCACCGAUUGGAGAGCACUGGAACUGCACCAAUGGGAGUGUUCCGAGAUUACCUCAACUAAUGAUCACCUCGUGCACGGGUGAGGUUGUAUCUUGGAGCUGAAUUCUUCAGAGACUGGCAUCUGGGCAGGAGCAUUUCUCCUGGGAACUAAAUGAAGUUGCCGGGAAACAGCUGACAUGUAAACCCACAAGGAAGAACAACACAAGAGAGUAAAGCACUGAUGCCUACAACAAAUAAUUAAUUCAGUAGGUGUGAGCUGUCCUCGCUGCUUCCACCUGUUAAGAAAUGCCUGCAAAUGAUGUCGUGGGAAGUGCAGAAACAUCUGGAAUUUAUCAUAGUAACAUCCUCAGAAACUCACCUUCUCCACCUGAAAGAAUAAGCACUCUCAACAGGUAUUUUGUAUUCCCAGUGUCCCUGCAUAUCAGUACAGAGCUGUUUUAGUGAUUUGGAUGAUGAGAUGUCAUGUGGUUUGUGAAUCAGUAUUCAUUCAUGUGUAUCAGCAGGUAUCCAAAAUUCAGUGCAAAAUAUUGCUUAGAGAAAUACUGCUUUAUUUAAGAUAUCAUUCCUAAUUCAAAAAACAUUCAUUAUUAACACAUUCAGUGAAAGCAUCAGUUCUGUGUGAUGUGGAGAAAACAAAACAAGUGACUGCAGAGACUUUAUCUUCAAAGGCUUUUUUAAAGUUUGUGCUGUCCUUCCAUUCUUCACACUCCCAUGGCCAGUUUAGUUGUGUAUGGGUUAGCUGCACUCAGAGGAGGCAGUUUAGCCACACUAAAUUAAUACUGAAUUGCAGGCAUCAGGUUUGGGUGUGAGGGUACUGGGGAAGCAGCGUGUGCCCGCAGGGUCCCAGCUCCUCUGUCUCUGCAGCACCCCAGCAGUUUGUGGGGCCAUGCACCAAGUGGUGUCAGGAAAUGACUCACCAGCAAGUUUUGUCCACAUUAAAUGUGUUUUUGCUUUUCUCUUCAAGUGAAUCACUGGUUAAAAAGAAAGUGAGUCCUAGAGCAGGCAAUGUGACCUCUUCCUACAUUUAUUACUCUCAGUCAUUACAACCACAGCUGAUUAAUAGAGAUAGUUUAAAAGGAACUUUGCUUAAUGGUGAGGUUUCUUUUCCCUUUAGGCUCCCAACAGCUUUCCUGUAUAUAGCCUAAUUUUUCAACACCAAGUUUCAUCUGCCAGACUGCCUGUAAUAAUACCUCUCACUUCAUUUUUAGUGCUUAGUCACCUAAGUAAGUUUCCUCUUACUUCCUUGAUAUUUUUAUCCAGUCCUCUCCAUUGAGACAGUAGAAUCUGGAGUUCUUGAAGCCCCAGACUAAAGUGAAAGCUGCAUGUUGGAAAGGACUACUGAGCUAUAUUACUAAACAGCUCACUUCCUCACUUCUGUUGCCUGUGAGAGUGGGAGCGCCUAUAUACUUCUGGCCACGUUUCCUGAGCAAGGAAGGGAGGAUCCACUUCAUCCUUUGAUCUCAUCCCAAGACUUUGCUGACAAGGAUCAGAGUGGCAGGUUGCCAUUCCUGAAGGUUGCACUGGGUGAGUUAAUCCUUACCACUCUCUGUGAUGUGCUGAUGAUCACUUUUUCAACCAGGCAGUGAGGUCUCACCCUUGUAUAUGUGCUUUGGGCAGCAGCAUUCAGCUUGAUCCCACCUCAAUUCCAAGCAGUAUUGCACAUCUUCAGAGCUAUAUCCUUCCCAAGACUCUUUUCCUCUCUAAUGAUGGAGGGUUUAUAGCCAGAUGUUGACAGAGGUCACCAGCCAAAUCUGUCCACGACGAUAUCACCUUCCCAGCAGUUGGAGGUAUUGCUCUCCCGUCCACUUGUUGAUCUGUGGUCUGUCCCAAGGCUCAUCAUAUUCAGUUGUCUCCAUUAUUCUACAGGUUCAUUAUGUUCAAUCAUUCAACCUUUGAUCAAGGCAAAGUCAUGAUGUUCCUUUAAUAUCAUUAUGUAUAAACAAAUCCACAAGUAAAUGUGUGUGAGUAGUUGUUUAAAUCUUGCUAUUUAUUUACCCAGUACUGAGUCUCAACAGCUUGUUGUGAAAGACAAUGAAAAAAACUAUCUUGCUUGCCCUUUUCUCUGGACAACUGUGAAACAUAAGCAUGGGUGUGCAUCUCUUUCAACUUUCCAUGGGCUAGAGUCAAAGGACAACAACUUAUAUGCUUAUAUGAGGUCAGCCAAGAGAUACACCUCCCCUGGCCAUUUCUGUAAGGAAUUUCUUGUUCACAACAAGUCUCUCAUCCUGCUAAUUCAUUUUCAAAACAUGUUUCUACUCUGACAGAUCCCUUGCAGAGAGAAUCCCUGACAAGUUUGCAAAUCAACCUCCCCUUCUGCAACUAACAUCAGUAAAUUGCCACAUCUCCUAAAAUGUAGAAGCUGCCAUUUUCUCAUAAUACUAAGUGGAGGGAAUUCUCUUAAAAACAACAUAGGAGGAGAGGUGGGUGUAUUUGGUCUUCUCCCUUCACCUGGAGACAUUACAUUAUAUUCCCCAUAGUAGUUUAUAUUCUCAUUGAGGGAUGUUUCUUAUGUCUUUGAGUGAUUGGUGCCAGCUGGAAGUCAGGCAGAAGCAGGAGAGUGAUCAGUUGCCCAUACUUAUUUUCCUGUGGUUGUACAGAUUGCUCCUAAAUAUUGUGUAUCUUUCAGGUAAGUUUGUAGGCUCUCUCUGCAGAGAUUGUUGCAUUCAUUUCACAUACGUAGAUGAGAAGGUAAUAGCUGCCUGAGUUUUCAGACAUCCUGCAAUACAGAAAGAUUCAUGAACUUUUUCAUCUUAAAAGAAGUGAUAAACAGUAAUCAUUAGGCAUCAAAGCCAAAUGCUAUCAAGAUAUACUGCCUCUUUGCUCAUCAAAGCAGACAGAGAAGACAGAUGUGAUCAGAGACGCCAUCAGUGAUAGGACUCAGUCUGCAGGACAGCAUGAUCUGGCUCCACAAAUACAAAAUAAUCUUUGUACGAGCUUCAGUUGGUUUGUCAGAAAAUGCUAUCAUUCAUCUGUAUUCAAGGUAGGACACUGGGAAGCAGUUGUUGUCCUAUAUAGCUGAGUCGUUCCUGCUUUUGACAAGCCUAUUUUGGGACUUAUCAAGAGCUGAGUGGAAACAUAUCUCCCCUUCUUGUUAUGUUCCCUUCCAUGAGCAGAAUUACUCUCUCUUAUGUCUUUUUCUAUACAACCCACAUUUACAUUUGCCUUUCACAGGAUGUCUCUGAAGCUUUUCCAUAUAGUAUCUCCGGGAGAUCAUGGGCAAAGCUUUAGCAGAUGGGUAGCUUGCAUCAAAGGAAUUACCAUCUGUUAUUUCUCUUCCCAAUUUUGUGCAAUGCUGGCGAAAGUUUGAUUGUUUCUCCUAGUCCCUCUUGGUCCUUUGCUUUAUCAGCAUCCCUCCAAUCUUUUCCCCUCUUUAUACCUAGGACUCCUGUAAGGAACUGUAGCAUUCAACACCAAAAGGUGUUUGGUUAUACUGCGCUGUACUCCACAUGCCAAGUUCCAUCUGCUGUGCUUUCAGAAAACUCUAAUCAUCCAGGAAAGAAUGGAAAAACCUUAGGAGACAACUUCACGGAAACUCCCAAUUAACUUUAUCACCCUCCUGAAAAUGAUGUUGAAUAUUGGGAGGGGCUCUGGCACUUAGGGAUCGCUUUACUUUACUCUUACACUGUGCUGUUGUUUCCCAGCUGGAUACAUUCAGAUAGGUAGUGUUAAAAUAAGACACCAUACCCUUCUACAUUUGCUUAUUGACAACACUCACUUUUGAGAGAAAUGUGCUCAACCUAAAAUUUUGAAUGUGUUCCCAACAGGCAAGCUCUAGCAAUUCAGUCAUGAUUUCUGGUCUGUCAGGUCAGGAUUGGCACCUACUACAUUCUCAUUACGUCUCGCUAAUUUGCAAGUUUAUUUACAGCCCAUGUCUCUUGAGCCUCAAUAGUUCACAGCUCUUGAAUGUAAGGAAGAGAUGGAAGUAUGUACAAGACAGUUUUUACCUCAGAAAGUAUAGGGCCAAUCAGCAAGGCUUCAACUAACUUCUGGCAAGACCUCUGUGGCAAAAUAAACCUCUAUCCCCUCUCCCAGAAAACAAAUAACAAAAAGUACCCUUCAGAUUUUUAAUGGAAUUCAUUUUUUUUAGCAGUCAGAUUUGACAGCAAAGAACACACAUGAGAUCUUUUUACGUAGUACUUGUUUCAGCUAUUCCAGUCCUUGGCUGUGGUGAAUAGCAUGGUUAUGAAAAGAAAAAAAUUAUUGAUAGAAGAAAUGAAGUUAAUGAAGAAAAAAAAUCUAGGGAGAUUUAAAAAUAGUUACUCUUGGGACACCCCGCUGUGUGAUUGACUAACCAUUCCACCAAACUGGUACAGAGCAUGAGUGGAAUUGUUCACAAUGAAUUCACUCUUCAGGUCAAGAUCUUGAUAAUGCUUUAAAUCCUCUAUUACCUGAGGAAAACAACUGUACCUUUGAAAGCCUUUAUUUUAUUUUUUUAAAUAUAUGUGACCUAUUUUAUUAAGUAUUUUGAGAAAAAAUCCAGUAUUACUCAAGUUUAUAGGAUAGCAUAGCAAAUCUUAUAUAUUUCCCAAAUGCUAUACUCCACUGUAAUAAACAUAUUAUAAUUUUAUAUUGUAUGGUUUUCAUUUAUUGUAAUGUGUGUUCGAAAGCUGUAUUUGAGAGAAGACCACAGUGAACUCAUUUCUGAGUGCUCAAAUACUUGCUUGUAUUUCUUUAGAAUGUCAGCUAAAUCAUAUAUCAUCAUCAAUGACAUCAACAAUGGAAUCAAGCAUACCCUCAGCAAGUUUGAAGAUGAUGCCAAGCUGUGUGGUGCAGCUGACACACCUGAGGGACAGGCUGCCAUCCAGAGAGACCCAGGCAGGCUUGAGCAGUAGCCCAGAUGAACCUCAUGAGGUUCAAUAAAUCCAAGUGCAAGAUCUGCA